rnacentral:rRNA from 1 species
CGGGACACGUGGUAUCCUGUCUGAAUAUGGGGGGACCAUCCUCCAAGGCUAAAUACUCCUGACUGACCGAUAGUGAACCAGUACCGUGAGGGAAAGGCGAAAAGAACCCCGGCGAGGGGAGUGAAAAAGAACCUGAAACCGUGUACGUACAAGCAGUGGGAGCACGCUUAGGCGUGUGACUGCGUACCUUUUGUAUAAUGGGUCAGCGACUUAUAUUCUGUAGCAAGGUUAACCGAAUAGGGGAGCCGAAGGGAAACCGAGUCUUAACUGGGCGUUAAGUUGCAGGGUAUAGACCCGAAACCCGGUGAUCUAGCCAUGGGCAGGUUGAAGGUUGGGUAACACUAACUGGAGGACCGAACCGACUAAUGUUGAAAAAUUAGCGGAUGACUUGUGGCUGGGGGUGAAAGGCCAAUCAAACCGGGAGAUAGCUGGUUCUCCCCGAAAGCUAUUUAGGUAGCGCCUCGUGAAUUCAUCUCCGGGGGUAGAGCACUGUUUCGGCAAGGGGGUCAUCCCGACUUACCAACCCGAUGCAAACUGCGAAUACCGGAGAAUGUUAUCACGGGAGACACACGGCGGGUGCUAACGUCCGUCGUGAAGAGGGAAACAACCCAGACCGCCAGCUAAGGUCCCAAAGUCAUGGUUAAGUGGGAAACGAUGUGGGAAGGCCCAGACAGCCAGGAUGUUGGCUUAGAAGCAGCCAUCAUUUAAAGAAAGCGUAAUAGCUCACUGGUCGAGUCGGCCUGCGCGGAAGAUGUAACGGGGCUAAACCAUGCACCGAAGCUGCGGCAGCGACGCUGAUGCGUUGUUGGGUAGGGGAGCGUUCUGUAAGCCUGUGAAGGUGUGCUGUGAGGCAUGCUGGAGGUAUCAGAAGUGCGAAUGCUGACAUAAGUAACGAUAAAGCGGGUGAAAAGCCCGCUCGCCGGAAGACCAAGGGUUCCUGUCCAACGUUAAUCGGGGCAGGGUGAGUCGACCCCUAAGGCGAGGCCGAAAGGCGUAGUCGAUGGGAAACAGGUUAAUAUUCCUGUACUUGGUGUUACUGCGAAGGGGGGACGGAGAAGGCUAUGUUGGCCGGGCGACGGUUGUCCCGGUUUAAGCGUGUAGGCUGGUUUUCCAGGCAAAUCCGGAAAAUCAAGGCUGAGGCGUGAUGACGAGGCACUACGGUGCUGAAGCAACAAAUGCCCUGCUUCCAGGAAAAGCCUCUAAGCAUCAGGUAACAUCAAAUCGUACCCCAAACCGACACAGGUGGUCAGGUAGAGAAUACCAAGGCGCUUGAGAGAACUCGGGUGAAGGAACUAGGCAAAAUGGUGCCGUAACUUCGGGAGAAGGCACGCUGAUAUGUAGGUGAAGCGACUUGCUCG